rnacentral:rRNA from 1 species
GGUACACUCACCCCGAAGGGCUUGCUCCCAGUCAAAAGCGGUUUACAACCCGAAGGCCGUCAUCCCGCACGCGGCGUCGCUGCAUCAGGCUUGCGCCCAUUGUCAAUAUUCCCCACUGCUGCCUCCCGUAGGAGU